CCCUAGUUAGCUUAGUCGGUAGACGCUCUACUGGAAAUGGAGAGGUCCCGGGUUUGACACCCGGACCAGGCG
rnacentral:tRNA from 1 species